AAUCAUUUUACCCUUACUAUUUUUUCUCUUAUUUUCUUUCUGACUUUUUUUUUUCUUCAUUACUUGCAUAUUACCAAGAAAUCUGAUGAUGAGAUUCUAUGGUUAAAUGCUUCUAUUAGCAUGGACUAAAUAGUGUUUUUAGUGCAUCUGAUUUAAUUCUUCUGGUGUUUAUGUAAUUCAGGUUUUGCUAUUGGUUACACUUGUUGGCCAGAAUUGUUGCUUCUCCACAUUGUGAUCCUAUAUGCUUGAAAUUGUUCUGUUUCUUAUAUUUAUCAAUAUCUCUUGUUCUUCUUAUAUUUUAUAAUCAGAACUAAAACUGUCCAACUUAGAGUAUUGCAUGUGGAAGUUAUCUAGGCUGCAGGUGGGUAGGACUGGGGGAGUGAGUUUCAAUAAAUAGAUUCAUAUAAUACAUGAUUGGGAACUUGAAAGGAAAUAUAUGCUUCAGGUUAUACAUGAAUCUCAAGUGGACACGAAACCAUUGUUUUUGUUCACUGAGUGAGGCUAUGUGAGAGUUCUAACGUGAAAUUUGCUUUUAAACUGAGUAUCACAGCCCUGUAUAUAGCAUAAUUCCAAAUUGAAAUAGUUCAUGUACAUAAAAUCUGAAUAUAUUAGGCUGACUUUCGACUAGAAUAACAUAAUCACAAGAUGAGCAAAAGACAUAUAUAACCUGAAGUUUAAAACUGCUACAGCAGCAUGAACUGUGAUGUGCUACAAUGUGUGAACAGUAAAACAAUUCUGAACUUGCUCCUGCAUCAUGAUGACUGACAAUUAGUCUUGUUUGCACUUAUGUGUGAUAUAUUCAUUUUGUUUUUCUAAUUUUGGUUAUGGAAACUGCAGGCAUUUUCGCUGGAUUUCAACCUAAGGUCACACAUGAAAACACAUUCACAAGAAAACUACCAUUUCUGUCCAUACCCAGAAUGUGGAAAGAGAUAUACUCAUGAGUACAAACUGAAGAACCAUUUGUCAGCUCACCAUGAAAAGGAAUGAUGGGCCAAAAUCUAAAUCCUUUGAGAGUCUACUAUAGAAAGAACUAUAAGAAGAAUGAUUCUAGGAGAGGACAGCUGGAAGGGAAUCAAAUGGAGGAUAUGCAUUAGGAAUUUGCGGGUGGCACUCCACAUGGCCCUUGAAUCAAUAUUGCAGCACCUCUCCAGCUAUAUAUAAGAGUUUAUCAGCUGAUACAACAAGCAUUAGGGAUUUUCUUGUAUUUCGGCAAUAGCUGGGCUAGCUUGAGCUAAUUUGGGAUUUUCUCCCGUCUUUGUUAUUUUUUCUUUGUUUUCUGUUUUCUAAAAGAGGGAAGAGUCAUUGUAGUGCUGAGAUUAUAUCAUCGUAAUUUGGAUAUUAAUUACAGUGAAAUCAAUAUUAAACUUCUCUCUUAUAUUGAA